AUUGAACGCUGGCGGCAUGCCUUACACGUGCAAGUCGAACGGCAGCACGGGAGCAAUCCUGGUGGCGAGUGGCGAACGGGUGAGUAAUAUAUCGGAACGUGCCCAGUCGUGGGGAUAACGUAGCGAAAGCUACGCUAAUACCGCAUACGAUCUAUGGAUGAAAGCGGGGGAUCGCAAGACCUCGCGCGAUUGGAGCGGCCGAUAUCAGAUUAGGUAGUUGGUGAGGUAAAGGCUCACCAAGCCGACGAUCUGUAGCUGGUCUGAGAGGACGACCAGCCACACUGGGACUGAGACACGGCCCAGACUCCUACGGGAGGCAGCAGUGGGGAAUUUUGGACAAUGGGCGCAAGCCUGAUCCAGCAAUGCCGCGUGCAGGAUG
rnacentral:rRNA from 1 species